ensembl:lncRNA
GGAACCAGGAAGUCAAAGCAGAAAUGUUAGCAUUUGCCGUUCCCCCUUUAAGAUGACAAGAAGUGCAGCUUUUCUUGCUGUGGCCGUGCUGUUGUGCAUCAUACUGUCAGCAGAACCAUCUGAUGUCCUGCGAUGCACAGGGGAGAGACAACGCGAUGGGCAGCUCUACUUCAACAUGUCAUAUGGCCUUAAAGAGGACGUCGAUGACUGCGAGACCCAAUGGGUCAUCAAUGGAAGCGUGGCAGGGAUUUCUAAUGCUGAUGGAAAUAUUUUCAUACCCCCACUUGUAAUGGCAACAGCAAACACUGCCAUCUUACAGACCUGCCCUGAAAAACUUGAAUGCCUGCUCAUCUGCCCCUCCGCCAGUAUCAACACUAGGGAACAGUGCUCUUGUAAGUAAUUGACUUACUACUAUAUAAUAAUUUGACACAAUUUUAGCACAUAGUAAUAACAAGUGACUAAAAAUAAAAGAUUAGAGAUCUUUUAUUGUCCUAGAAUGUGCAAUAAAGUGAAAUAAAAUUGUUUUGCAGGUGAUAUCACUUCUCCGACUACACUUCCUGAAGGUAAGGUCAACUGCUUAUGCUGUAGCACUAAAUUGUAUCAAACUAUUAACAUAAAAGUACUCAAAAAAAGUGAUGCCACUGUACACUCACACAUUUUCUGUUGGCAAAAAUAUGUAUUUUAGGCCAGCAAGCUAGUAUCCUGUUUCAGACACCAGAAUGCUAUGAAAUGCACAUGCUCAGUUUAAUUUUUUUCCAAGGUCUUUAGCCUAAAAAAAUGUGCAACAGUUUGAACAUGACUCAAGUGAACGUCAGAGAGAUUUGUCGCUCCAUUAAAAAGUCCACUCACCCAAAACUGUUGCACUUAAAAAAACUUAAAAAGAGAUCAAAAAAUAAAUCCAUAUGAAUUGAUUGGUUUAAUCCAAGUCUUCUGAAAAGACUCGAUCACUUUAUAUGAUGAACAGAUUUCAUUUAGUCUAUUAUUCACAUAUAAACAUUGAUCAGCAAACUUUGUUUACAGCAUUAAAUAUUGCUCACGGAAACAUGUCAAGCUUGCUUGACGUGCAAAAAAUAAUGAGGUAAAUUCUUGCGUGUUUCACCAGCACAUUUAAGCUUCCUCAAGAACCUAGGGGUUUGUCUUCAUGCUUCAAGCAAGUAUGGUUGAGCUUUAUGUUUGCUGAUCAAUGUUUAUAUGUGAAUAAAAACAUGAAUUAAACCUGUUCACCAUAUAAAGCAAUCAUAUCUCUUCAGAAGAUGUGGAUUCUAAUGGAUAUGUGUUAUAAUCUCUUUGAAGUGUCUGAGUUUUGGGUGAAUAAACUUUUAAAUGAGGGACAGAAAUCAGAUUUUUGAUAUAAAAUAAUUUGUGUUCCGAAGAUAAAUUAAAUUAUGGGUAAAUAAGAGAAUUUCCAUUUUGAGGUGAAUGUUGUCACACCUGCUUGCUGGCUGAUGCAGAAUGAUCACGCUUGAAGAUCAGUUAAGUAGUAUUUAAUGGAAAACAAUCAAACAGCGAUAAUCAAAACAAAGAUAAUAUCCAGUGGCCUGUAGCACAAAACCACUUUCCGUUUUUACCCAGGUAAGUUUGUGUUUAGUUUAGGCUCAAGAAGGUGGGUUGGUUUUGACUAGGUUUCGUCACCAUGGUAACUUGCGCUUCACGUCUACCCCUACCCCUGCCACAAUAAAGCCACCUCUCCAUCUCUUGCUUCAAAUUAAAGCAGAUUAGAGUCAAAUAAUUUUUUAGACAAAAUUGCCAGGCUUUUGCGGCUACGUAUUUAUUGUUUAUAUUAUAUCAAUUAUAGUUGUUUAUAACUCAUAUAAUAUAUUCAUAUAAUUAUUAUUUUAAGCUUUGCAUUUAAAUUAAUUUAAAUAUAUAGAUAGAUAGAUAGAUAGAUAGAUAGAUAGAUAGAUAGAUAGAUAGAUAGAUAGAUAGAUAGAUAGAUAGAUAGAUAGAUAGAUAGAUAAGCUUUAAUAUAGCCAACUUUUAAAAUGACUAAAUUUAUGUUUUCCUUUUGAGCCCUGUGUGACACUAUAUAAAUAAUGAAAUCCAGUUGAUUCAUUUGCACAGUCAUAUUUUCUCUCUGUUUCCUUCUCAAAGUUUUGGUGCCUUGUAAAUGCAUUUAAAUUCAUUACAUUUUUUAAUUACGACAUCCCUUAGUCUUCAGCAAAAAAGUUAAUUGCGCCGACUCUCACAAGAAGUGAAUCAAACUGACACUUUGCUGACACUCUCCACAUGUUCCGUUCAUAUCAAGCCUAUAAAUACACUAAUUUAGCGACAAGACAAAGGGAUGUAGUUGUUGUGAGAACAGCACUGACAGCAGCAAUGGUUGUCCCCUCCACCAUGUUUAAAGAUUAUGACCUGCCCAACUCAGAAAAUUUCUGAAUUUCCCAUUAAAUACAACUUGAGAGGCUAUCACGUCUAAUUUCCAAUCAGGAAACUCGUAUUUACAAUAACUGCGAUAGCACGUGAAGGCUCUUGAUCAAACUCUGAGUCGACUGAGAACGUUUAUAUCGAGCUUUGUGAGCCCGCUGAACCUGAUCUAAACCAGGUUGGAUUUGUUUGGUUUUGUCAACUUUAAACUUACUCCAAAAUGCUGAGUUUUUUCAUCUCGCUUCGUGCUACAGGCCACAGGUAGCAACGUUAACACAAGACCCAGAACAAAACACAGGGCUUAAAUACACAGAGCCAACAAAGGAUAUAAUGGGUUAAUCAAUCAAACAAAUUGGGAAAAGUAUGUCAAUGGGCAAAGAGCAACCAAACACAAUGAAAACUAGGACAAAACAGAAUGUAGCCCUGACAAAUGUACUCUUUAAAAGUGUAGACAGACUGUCAUGAUUAAGUAGCUUACAGUGAUUAAUAGUGGACAGUCACCGCUGAGCUCUUUUGACAUAUACUCUUUUCCAUGGUAAGAGCUUGUGUGUAGUGUAGUUGUUAACUGUAAAUUCACCUGUAUUCAUUUCACUUUUAGUUUAUACAGAAGUGUAUAUCAUUACUUAAUCAGAUAUGUUACAUUAAAAAUAUACAUCAAUUUUUCUAUAUGGAAAAUGAAUAAGUGUUUUUACUUCUGGAUCUUGGCUGCUAUACUACAGGUUCUCUACAGGGCUUUCAGUAAUUAUUUUGUUACAUGCAAUGUAAAUAAUGAAUGUGUUUUUUUUUUUUUUUUCGUUUUUUUUCUUUCCAUACAACAAGUCAGUAGGAUUUAAUGUUUUUUGAACCCUGAUGUUUUUCUGAAUGUUCAACUGAAGAAAGUCAUACAGUUGGUUUUCCUGGCCAGAUCGUUGGUGCUGGGAUUGGAGUGAGUGUAUCCGUGAUUCUGUUGUUCUAUGUCACCAUUGUGCUUUACAAGAAAAAAAAAAGGUCAGGAUAUGCUCCAGGUCGUGCUGAAACUGUUUGAUUCUGGAGACGUUUCAUCUUCAGUAAUUCAUUAGGAACUGUACUCUUCUCUUUUAAAUUGUAAGGCCAUAACCAUGUCUUGAACAUUAAAGACGGGGGUGGGGGGUGGGCAAACUAAUUUUGAGUUUUUAAGAAAAUAAAUAAUUAAAGGGUAUAAAGGGAUUUAAGGGAAUAAAUGUGCAUCUACAUAAGUGUGUACAUAAAUCACAGACAUUAUAGCUAUAUAUUUUCAAUUCUGAACAGUGAAAUUUGGCCAUUUUUAAAGAGGGACUUGUCCCCCUCAAUGUCUAUGGUGGUUACAGCCCUGUUUUAUAGCAUUAGCUCUAUUAUUCUGCUUUUGUUGAUUACAUUUAGCAUCGCAUUGCUUUAUAGCUUGUAGGAUUUUUUGUUUGUUUCUCUAAUUAAAUUAUGACUCUAUGAAUUAUGUCUCAAACCUAAAUGAAGCUACAUGAUGAAAUAAUGCUAUUAGUUUAUAUUAUAGAAUUAUAUAUUUAAUACUAAAUACUUUUAUAAAUACUAUAUGUGUCCUCAUGAUUAGCACAAAUGAAAACAAAUGAUUGAAAAUACUUUUAAAAUUGUAUUGAAAAUAUUUUAUCAUAGAAUUAUACACUGAAUUAUAUUGUAACUUGGUAUAUUUAUCUUAUAGUAUAACUUAAUACAUUAAACUGUAUUAUUUGUAUUAUUAAUAUAUAUAUAUAUAUAUAUAUAUAUAUAUAUAUAUAUAUAUAUAUAUAUAUAUAUAUCUAUCACUGGUCUAGUCAGUCUGUGGGGAAAGAAUUGGUGGAUUGCAUGGCACUAUAGUGAGCAUAAAAUGUGUGUGAACAUAAGUAACUAUAUGACCAGGGCAAGUAUUUGUAUAAAUUUCUGCUGUGGAAGCAAAAUGAAAUGAAAUGGUUGCCAGUGAGUUCACAAAUCGAAUACAUGUAAAAUAACCUACCCCCCACCCCCACCCCCCUCACACACACACUAAAAAAAAGGGGGUAAAUAUACUUUAACAACAUGAUUUACAUGAAAUAAAUAUCCCUAUGUGCUAUGCCAUCGGCUAAAAAAUUAUUUUCUUCCUGUACUGUAGCCUUUUAUUUAUAUAGCUGCAGUAUCCUUUGUGGGAAAGGAUACUGGCACUGCUAGAUUUGAUCAGAUUUGUAUCAAAUGUCUGUUUAAAGCAUUAUGUAUAUCAUAAAGGAUGUUUAGUAAUCAGGGCCAUCCUUGGGGGGUGCAACUGGUGCGAAUACGAGUACGAACAGACCAAGGGUGGACCUACUGCCUACCUCGCACCGGGCCCCGCGUCAGCUAAGGACGUCCCUGUUAGUAAUAUUUGCUUAGCUAUUGUAUUGCACAGCAUUACUCUACUCUUUGUAAUGACUUCUUCCUUUUAAGCACUUAAACGCUUUCUUUUGGGGCAUUUCUGUUAAUAAAAAUCUUAUAUAAGAACAUUUGAGUGUGUACCUGAUUUAUUUUUCUACACCACAGAUAAGUUUAGAAAAAGUCAGCAUCUGAGAUAAUGAUAGCAGCACUGUGAACGUGUGGCUCAUGAUGACUCACUAACCCUUCACACUGGCCAAGUCUGUAAACGCAUUACAUCAUCUGACCGGAUGUCUGUCUGGCACUGAAAUGGUCUUUGAGGUUUCCAUCUCAUUCAACACCCCCAACACAAAAUACCCUCCAUGUCAAGCAGUUAAUCUGAACACUGGAUUUGAUCUUAAAUGCAUAAUUUCAAACCUGAUAUUUAGAAAUGACAUUAAUUUCACAAAAUACAGAACUCAAUUAGGUUUGAAUAAUUUAUAUUAAUGGGUUAGGUUCUGUGAACUAUAAUUUUUAGGGUUGGGGUUACAGUGUUCAUAUACUGCAUAUAUACACAAAACUAUGUACAGAGUUGCUUUAAUUCGAACUAAUUCAUAAUUCACUAUUGUUAACACUUGAAAUGUAAAUAUAUUAGUAUAUGUAGAAAUUACUUUUAAUUUCUUUUAAAUAGUUUACUUUUAAAUAGUUUACUUUGUUGAUUGCAAUUUUAGUGGCAUAGUACUAUUCUCGUGACCCCACAUACAUGCUUAAUAUAU